rnacentral:tRNA from 2 species
GCGCCGGGUGUGAGGGGUCUCGAACGAGAAUCAGACUACGAAUCUGCAGAGGUUCGAAUCCUUUCGGGCGCGCCA